rnacentral:rRNA from 1 species
CGUAGUCAAAAGGGAAACAGCCCAGACCACCAGCUAAGGCUCCUAAAUAAAAGCUAAGUGGCAAAGGAGGUGAAAGUGCAGUGACAAUCAGGAGGUUUGCCUAGAAGCAGCCACCCUCUAAGGAGUGCGUAAUAGCUCACUGAUCAAGCGCUUUUGCGCCGAAAAUGACCGGAACUAAGUUUUUUGCCGAAGCUGUGGCUACAUCACACUGAUGAUGUAGGGUAGAGGAGCGUUCCGCCCAGGGGGAAGCCAAGCGCGUAAGCCGCGGUGGACAGGGCGGAAGUGAGAAUGUCAGCUUGAGUAACGUAAACAUUGGUGAGAAUCCAGUGCCCCGAAAACUCAAGGGUUCCUGCGCAAGGCUCGUCCGCGCAGGGUCAGUCAGGACCUAAGGUGAGGCCGAAAGGCGUAAUUGAUGGCAAGAAGGUUUAUAUUCCUUCACUAGUCUAGGCUUAGUCCUGAGGGACGAACAAAUAACACUCUACAUAAUUGCCAUGCCUGGCAGCAUGGAACAAACGAUUACUGUAUGAUGGUAUUUUUUCCAAGAAAAGCUCAUCCGACUUCGAGUCUAGACUACCUGUACCGUAAACCGACACAGGUGAGUGGGUUGAAUAAACUAAGGGGAGCGAGAUAACUCUCUCUAAGGAACUCGGCAAAUUGGCUCUGUACCUUCGGAAGAAAGAGUGCCCCUCAGGGGGCCGCAGUGAAGAGAUCCAGGCGACUGUUUACCAAAAACACAGGUCUCCGCAAAGUCGUAAGACGAUGUAUGGGGGCUGACACCUGCCCAGUGCCAGAAGGUUAAAGAAGUUGGUCAAUCUUUGAUGAAGCUAACAACUGAAGCCCUGGUGAACGGCGGCAGUAACUAUAACUGUCCUAAGGUAGCGAAAUUCCUUGUCGGGUAAGUUCCGACCCGCACGAAAGGUGUAACGAUCUGGAUACUGUCUCAGAGAGAGACUCGGUGAAAUAAAACUAUCUGUGAAGAUGCGGAUUACCUGCACACGGACAGAAAGACCCUAUGAAGCUUUACUGUAACCUGGAAUUGCUCUCAAGCUUAUCUUGCGCAGCUUAGGUGGGAGGCUAUGAACCUUUUCUUCUGGGAAGAGGGGAGCCAUCAGUGAGAUACCACUCUUGGUAAGCUAGAGCGCUCAGUCUUCACCGUCAUCCGGUAAGACGACAGUUUCAGGCGGGCAGUUUGACUGGGGCAGUCACCUCCCAAAAGGUAAUGGAGGUGUGCAAAGGUUCCCUCAGGCUGGACGGAAAUCAGCCAUAGAGUGUAAAAGCAAAAGGGAGCUUGACUGCGAGACUGACAUGUCAAGCAGAGACGAAAGUCGGCUUUAGUGAUCCGACGGUGCUGUGUGGAAAGGCCGUCGCUCAACGGAUAAAAGUUACUCUAGGGAUAACAGGCUGAUCUCCCCCAAGAGUCCAUAUCGACGGGGAGGUUUGGCACCUCGAUGUCGGCUCGUCGCAUCCUGGGGCGGUAGUACGUCCCAAGGGUUGGGCUGUUCGCCCAUGAAAGC